CCCCGCCGCCCACUGCGAACAAACACCCCUCUGUGUGCCCUCCCUGGCCGGGCCUCCCGGGAGGGCCCUGCAGGAAGCAGGAUGUUGACCGGAGUCUGUGCCCAGUGGCUCCUUGGGCGGGUGGACCCAGCCACGUUUGAGGAAACUGAGGCUCAUCAGAGUAAGAGAUCCAGCUGAACUGGGAACAGGUGUUGGUGUGCCCCUACUCUGCCCCAUGGUAACAUGGCGAGGACAGGUCUUUCCUUUUCUCAUGUCAGCUGGUGAGAUCUGGCCUGAAGUUGUGAAGAGGCUGGGCAAGGGGGUGCGCAAUAAAGGAGCUGACUCGCUAAUGCAACUGGAGUUUGGUACAUUCAUACCUCCUGGAGUAUCCUGGAACAGCCCUGGAUCCUAUGGGGCAUUAAGCUUUCCAGGCUUGAGGAUGUCAAAACACUGCUAUGAGGUCCCCAUCCUCUAGGCCCAGGCCUGCUUCAGCUGUGUGCGUAGCCUGGGCCUGCUCUUGCUUGCCUCGGUAUCCCAACUGUGGUGAGGCCUUGGAGAGGUGGCAGGGAUGUUUCACCCUGGGUACUUGGAAGCUGCCCAGUCCACUCAGAGCAACCUCCGUGUACCCAGCUCUCUUCUCACAUGGUCAGUCUCAUGCAUCUGGGAAGGGGAGUGCUCUCCAGCCCGUCUCCUCCUUGGUCUACCAGUCAGGCCCUCAUCUGCCCAGUCAGCAUAGUGAUGGCCUGCUCUUCCUUCUUCGCCAUCAAGAGGCUCCAACACUAACACUGGGGGCAGCAGUGGGGAACAAACCUACUUCAGCUCCUGUGCUCCUAUAGUUUCGUCAUGGGAGAGGAAGGUAUCCUAGAACUCAUCCAAUCCAGCCCUGCCAUUUUAUAGAACAAAAAAAGGCCAGGUCUUAAAGCUGUGGCCACUCACUGCAGCUUGGGACAGGGAUAUGAGCUUGCUGGCAGGAAGCGCAGUGUCUGCAAGUGCGUUGAUGGUGACGCACGUCCUUGAGUGAGCUGCAGAGGGGGUGUGUGGAGAGACUGGAAGGUGGCCUUGGAAGUUUAUUCCAGGCACAGAUUCUCUUCCCCUAAUCCUUACCCCCUCCUUUUUUCCUUUUCAGCAGCAGUUAUAAAACCCAGGAAAUAAAUGUGGACUGAUGGCCUGUGAAGGGCUUAGUUAGUGCUGUGACCUGCUGAGUUAUGUAACUCCUAUUUAUUAUCGGCCUUGGAUGAAAUUUCCAUUGAGGCAACUCACUAAGCUCAUUCUGUGACAUUUUCUUGUGCUUGCUUGGAGGUGGCAGCAGCAGAAAUUCCUCUGCAACUUCAAAGACAGAAAUGGUGGUGUAGAUACUUUCAGAAAUCCCUUUCUUUAAUCCUUUAGGCCAAUGUUUCUCUCACCCCUUGAAAAAAUUGUUCACGCGGGCACAAGCUCCAGGACCUGGCCCCUUUGGGUCCCUCGGCUGUAAGUGACCAUAGCCUGACUGAGGAAAGGUAUUUCCUUCAUGCUGGGGUGAGAACCAGGGGCUGUGAGAAUCUACAAGAGCUGAGGAGAAAGGGCGCUAAACUGAGUCCAGAGUUCUAGUCCAGUCUCCACCGCUGUAUAACAGCUGCUCUUGGCCUCAGCCUGCUUACUGGUAGAGUGAAUGAGUUUACCUAUCUGUGUACUUCAACCCUCAAAAGUGUGGCAAGCUCCUUGGUCUGCUUUGCUUGCCAUGCUGGGGGUGACAGCCCAGUGGGGACAGAGGGGGAGGGAUGAGGGAAGGUUAGUGCCAGUAGGGCUCCACCUUGUGUUCAAAAGGGAGCAGAGCUGCUGUCUCCUCGACUCCCUUCCUGCUUUGGGAGGGGGUGGUACUGGAAGAAUUAAGCUUCACCUCUGAGCCCUUCACCUUAGUAGCCAAAAGGGCCCUAGGAAGAAGCUAAGGGUUCUGAUGCCACACUAAAGUAGACUUUUGGAGACCCCUUCUCAGCUUUAAGAAGAAAAAGACUCAAGGGAAGUCCAGGACCCACAGAACUCAACAGUGCCUCUUCAUAAUCAGGACAUAUUCCUCUCAUUACUGAUUCCUUGAUGCCUUAGGUACAAUCUGGUGCAUCAAAACAGCUUGUACCAAGUGACUAUGGCUGCAUUAAUUCCUAUCAUAAAGGAUCUGGGUAUGCUCCUUUAUGUUAAGUGACCAUAGCCUGACUGAGGAAAGGUAUUUCCUGGGAUCUGGCUGGGCAUGAAGAAGGCCACCGUUCAGACAAUCCAAACUGCACUUGGCCCAAGAUAAGAUUGAGGGCCCACAGAUGAUUUUUGAAGGACCAGGGGCAGAAAGGGGCUAAAUUUUACAAUCCUUCAUCAUGACUUGGUUUUUGAGCUGGUUUCAUAUUACAGUAGAGGGGUCUUUGAAAGAAAGAGCUGUCACCUUGGGGUUCCAGAAACAUGACUUUAAUAUGAAGUGGAAUGGUCUGAUAAACCCUCAACUGAGCGGUGAUCAGGACAUUAUAGCUCCAGGCAAACUCUCCAAGAUAGAACCAUAGAUGGCCUACACAAUAAAAGUCUGCUCCCAAACCAGGCCCAAACACAGCAAGAGGCAAACACCUGGAAAGUCACUCCUGGAUUUCAAACUCAAAGAAACAUUAGCACAUGUCUGGGCAUAGCCAAAGGUAGGGGGAAAUAAGCUUGAUGAGAAAGGGCAAUGGAGCUGGGCACACUGGUGUCCAUCUGUAAUCUGAGGGGACUUGGGAGGCUAAGGCAGGAGGAUUGCAAGUUCAAGGCCAAGCCUGGGUAACUGAAUGAGUCCUUGUCUCAAAAUAAAAUAAAAAGGUCUGGAGAUGUGGCUUGGUGGUAGAGCAUCCCUGGGUUCCAAAGAGAGAAAGAGAGGGAGGGGCAGUGCACACAAGAAAUCAAGGCAUCAGUAGGGGAAAAGAAACAUAUUUCUUCAUUGUUGAGUAAUAUUUAACAUGAUCUUAUUUGUUUCCUCCAAUAAUCUUAUCACAGACCAUCAUUAGCAUACUACUUAUGAAGCAAUUCAAGUUUUUGAAAGACUAUUCCACUCUUUGCAUGUUACCUGAGAUGUCCUAAAAAAUAUUUUGCAUUCUUGCUUGAAAAGACUAAUACUGAGCUCUUAAAUCAGGUAGACAGCAUAUCAUUCUUCUUGCCACCAUUCCACACCCUACUGUGCAUCUGAUGUUAAUAUUUAGCUUUUUUAUGUUUAGUCUCCACCCAUUUAUAUAUAGUAACUGAGAUAAUUCUUGUCAUAAAGCAUUAUGAAUAACAGAUACCAAAGAUGUUUUGAUGGCAUCUAAAAUGCCAAAUCUACUAUUUUCAUGCUUUAACAUGCCCCUUAGCAUUCCUGCAUCAGAAUGAAAUUAACUAUUAGAUGCAAAAUAUGGGUUUUUCUUGGCUGGGUGUAGUGUCACAAGCCUAUAGUCCCAGCAACUUGGAAGGCUGAGGCAAGGCCAGUCUGGGCAACUUAGUAAGACCCUGGCUCGAAAAUAAAAAAUGGGGCUGGGAUUGUGGCUCAGAGGCACAGUGCUCACCUAGCAUGUGUGAGGCACUGGGUUCAAUCCUCAGCACCACAUAAAAAUAAUAUAUAGAUAUUGUGUCCACCUAUAACUAAAAAAUAAAUAUUAAAAAAAAAUAAAAAGGGCUGGGGAUAUAGUUCAGAGACAGAACACCUCUUGGUGAAAUCCCCAGUAGCACAAGCAUACACCCACAAUGGGUUUUCUUGUGUUUAGCUUUCAUAGAACACCCCUUUUCCUUAAACCGUGGAGGGCAAGGCAAUAGAGCAAGGUAUGUGUCAGUCCAAGGCACUUCUACUUGAGGAAUUACUUUCCUUAUAGGAAUUACCUUCCUCAAAGUAUCCUAAACAAGGCCUGAAACAUUAACAAGUAGACUGAAAAUAAGGAUAAUUCUGCUUCUGACUAGCACUGCAGCCAAUUUUUCUCUUAUUUUUGUCACAUUAUAAAGCAGACACCAUACUAGUAUCAUUUGUUCAACUUGUGCUUCUAAGGAACAGACACCUUUGGGGUUUUCACCAUUUCUGAGUCUGCUUCCCCCUACUGGUCUCCAUCUCCUUGAGGGUGUCUUACCUGUCUUCACACAUGUGACACCUGGGAACUCCAAAAGCACAAUGCUGAGUGCCAGGCAGGGUAGGUGGUUUGUUGGUUGCUGUCACAUGUUACUUAGUCAUCACAAGAACCCCUUGGGAAUUCUUUAUUUUUUGAGCAGGGGCACUGGGGAUUGAACCCAGGGGCACUUUACCACGGAGGAUCCCCAGCCCUUUUUAAUUUUUUUUUUCUUCUUAAGACAGGGCUUCACUGAGUUGCUGAGGCUGGCCUUGAAAUUGCAAUCCUCCUACCUUAGUCUCCCAAGUCGCUGGGACAACAAGAGUGUACCAACACUCCUGGCUCUCUUUGGGAUGUUACUCUCACCUCAGAGUAAAGAAACUGAAGAGUGAAGUGACUAUCAAAGAGUCACAAAAUUAAGAAACAUUAGACCAGGGCUCAAACCCAGUUCUCUUGGACUGGAAGUCUAACACUUUUCUGCUCACCUGAAGUAGCCCUGGUGUUCAGUUGAUCUGGUUAUAGCACCAGCGAGGUACCUGAUACUCUCAACUAAACUUGUUUACCAACAGGCAAGGACUUUCUGAUAGCCAGGCCUCUGAAUUACCUGGGAAUGGUAAUAUUCUCCCCAAAGGGUUUCUCUGCAGAUCACCUUAUGAAUUUUUGGGCCAAAUACUUGGAAAAACUGUUAGAUGUUAUAAAAAUGAAGCUAGGCAUGAUAAGUAAAAGGUACUUUUUUUUCUAUGAAAAACCAUCAGAAGAUAGCCUUGCCAAGUGAAUUCAGACUUAAGAGAGAUGAAAUAUUCUCUUCAAGCUUUUAAUGUAUCAGUAGGUUCAAAGUAUCCUAAACUUCAAUUGUCCAUGAAUCAAAAAAAGAAAGACUAUUAUGUUGGGCUUGGGGUGAGUCUGCUCGCAGGCCACAAUGUUCAAGUUAAAACAGGCUAAAAAUGAAUGAAGCUGUGUGCUCCUGGAAAACAAGUGUUUGUGAAUCCAGCUGAGCUGCUUUGAGUUGCCUUUUUCUUUUUUUCCUGUGGUGCUGGGGAUUGAACCCAGAGCAUUGUGCAUGCGAGGCAAGCACUCUACCAACUGAGUUAUAUCCCCAGCCCUGCUUUGAGUUCCUUUAAGCAGAUGUUCUCAAUAGGAGGAUAAUAAUCAGCUGGGUAACUAUAUCAGUAGUCUGAUAUUCCUGAGGGGAAGAAGGGAAAAAAAAGUAUUCUGCAAAUAGCUCCUGGGGUGAUUCUGUUCAUACCUCCCUCUCCUGGUUCAGCUGAGAACUGCGGCUUUAAGUUAAAUUGCUAUUUCCACUGAGCAGAGGUUUAUUUUGUCCACCCCUCUUUUGGGGCCUCCAUUCAAAUCAUAACUCCUUUGUGUCUGUGGGUGGGAACCACUGUACUGCUUGAAUAUGGUGAAAAGCAAGGAGUUAAGCUAUCUAGCUUCUUUUAUACAAUGUCGUUCUGAUAAAUUGGAAACUCUAGUAAUCAAAUCCCACCUACCAGUUGCCGGGCCUCAUGGCAGAUUGGGCAGCCCUGAACCUGCAAGCAAGGUAUGGUUUUUAUCUGUAUAGACAAUAAAGCAAGGGAAAUCAGAAACAGGGUCACAAAACCAGAGGGUUACAACUAGGGUUUUUCUUAGAUCACCUGACUAAACUACCUUCCCCUUUAAUACAAGAGAAUUCACAUCCAAGGAUGUGAGUGGUAAAGCACUUGCCUAGCAUGCACAAGACCCUGAGUUGGAUCCCCAGCACCACAAAAAAAAAAAAAAAAAAAAAAAAAAAAACCCACAAAAAACUCCCAAAUGUUAUGUUAAUGUGACCUGCCUAGAGUCACUGUAGGCGUAAAGCCUGGACCCACAGCUUUUUUUCCCACUACCCUGCUCUAUCUCCCUAAAGAAAAUGGAUUUAGAUGGGUGUGACAGUGCAUAACUGUAAUCCCAGCAAGUUCAAAGCCAGCCUGGACAACUCAGUGAGAUCCUGUCUCAAAAAUAAAAUUUAAAAAGGGGCUGUGGAUCUGCAGCUUACUUGGAGAACAUUUACCUAGUAGCAUGCAUGAGACCCUGGGUUCAAUCCCCACUACUGGCGGGGUUGGGGUGAGGGGUCAGUUUAAAAUGAAAUGUAUUAUUACCUAAUAUUUAAGGCAGUCUGAAAAAUCUAUCAAACAGUCCUUAAUAAAUUGAUUACUGCCUCUUUAAGAGCUGGUAGCUUAAGCAGAAUCUCUCUACUAAGGCCUGAGAGGCAGUUCUCUCCCUGGUACUGGGCAGGGGUCUAUAGGCUACAGUUCCAGUUAUGACCAUGGGGCUCCUGCCCUGUUCCCAACAAAAAACAAAAUGAAUGUCUUCUGUCUUCUGUUGCCAUUUUAACCUCUUACUAGAGGGAUCAAAAUAUGGCUAAACAGGAUGCAACAGGACUGACUAAUCAAUUUCCAAAACAAUGCCUUGGCAGGCUCUAGAGGGCGGAAGAAGCAGGUGCGUCAAGGUCCUACCAAGUCAAGGAGUGAGUCAGGCUAUUGGUUAUGUUAUAGAGCAUCCCACCUCACUGGACAGAUAACUGGUGAAAUGUCCUAUCAACAUGACAAAUGGGAUGACUUUCACUAUCACACAAGAAUCCCAAUGAAGACACACAAAAUCCACUGGAUCACACUAAAGACCAGUGCGCUGAAUGGGAUUAACUUUAUAUCAUCCUUCCUCUAAGAGUCUCUCCAAAGCAAGAGAUCACAAAUAAGCACACCAUAUUAUCAGAAUCCCAGCACAACCUGUCUCUUAUCACAGAGUAAUCUGGCAAAGGGUAUAUCUUAGUGUCAUGAGUGGGUUGUCACUCACCACUCCUACAUCUCUAGACAGUCCUCUUGUCCAUUACCUACAUCUCAUUUGAACACAUGAGCCAAGCGGCUCACCCCACUGCUCACCUUCAGACAAUGGCAAAUGACAACAUUCUGGACCCUGAGAAAUGAUAUGUUUGAUGGAGAGAUUAUUGGACUUUCAAAUAAAACCCAAGUUCAGACCCCUGGGAAAAAUAAAAAGGAAACAAAACACAAUGGACCUCAAACAUGUUUCAUAUACAUAUUUAUAUAUAUUUCAUGUACAAAGUUACAUUCCGAACCCCAGGGAUUCCAUAAUAGAAAUAAAUACUGAAAUAACUACAUUGCUAAGUGAGCUUUUUGCUCAUAGAAACAAAGCCUCAGCCUCUAAGACAGUCAAGUGGGACACUCCAGAAUCCCACUUUAUGGAGGCAAGUAAAAUUCUGGAUAAGAUGUCUAGAACAAAAAACAAAUUUAGAACAUAAAUUGUUAAAAUAUAUUCAAAUAUUGAGAAAUGCAAGACAAAAUUAAUAAUAAAACUUAAUUAUUUAAGAAAAAGACAAUUAGUGUUACAGAAGAGCAUAACCCUGUUAGAAAAGCAUUGAUGACUUCCACAUUUCAUCUUCUCUCCUCCUCUUCCCCUGUCACAAAGUGAGACCAAGUAAGUCACUUUCUCAACAUGAUCAAUUAAGAAGAGCCCUACUGGCAAUGAAGCAUGGUGGUAGAGCACUUGCCCAGCAUGCACAAGGCCCUGGAUUCCAACCCUAGCACCAUGGGGUGGAAAAACAGGGCAAAGAAAAGCCCUAACUCUGGUUGAGUCCUUUGGUAAAGGUCAUAAUACUCACAAGAAAAUAAAUAUUCAGUUCCACAGCAUUUCCAAGACACACAUCCUUUAGGACAGUUAAUAUUAUGAGAUGUUUUAUUACUAAGGCAGCCUAUGUCAAGAGUUCUCUUCUCAAAUGCAGGAAGAAACGAAAAAUAUUGCAACUGAGAAUCUUUUUUUUUUUUUUUUUUGUAUUGGGGAUUGAA